GAGUCCUACAGUUAGAGAAAUGCACAGAGGACAACAAGUAGAGGAUAGGAUCUCACGAUGCAUAGUGCAUUAAUAUCAUUAAUAUCUCAC